UGAGACACUGAGGCAUAAAGAGGAU
rnacentral:piRNA from 1 species